GAACUCUGGUAUUGAUUGGUGCUUGCAUCAUGAUUUACAUUUGAGUGAGUGGCGAACUGGUGAGUAACACGUGGGAAACCUGCCCAGAAGCGGGGGAUAACACCUGGAAACAGAUGCUAAUACCGCAUAACAACUUGGACCGCAUGGUCCGAGUUUGAAAGAUGGCUUCGGCUAUCACUUUUGGAUGGUCCCGCGGCGUAUUAGCUAGAUGGUGGGGUAACGGCUCACCAUGGCAAUGAUACGUAGCCGACCUGAGAGGGUAAUCGGCCACAUUGGGACUGAGACACGGCCCAAACUCCUACGGGAGGCAGCAGUAGGGAAUCUUCCACAAUGGACGAAAGUCUGAUGGAGCAACGCCGCGUGAGUGAAGAAGGGUUUCGGCUCGUAAAACUCUGUUGUUAAAGAAGAACAUAUCUGAGAGUAACUGUUCAGGUAUUGACGGUAUUUAACCAGAAAGCCACGGCUAACUACGUGCCAGCAGCCGCGGUAAUACGUAGGUGGCAAGCGUUGUCCGGAUUUAUUGGGCGUAAAGCGAGCGCAGGCGGUUUUUUAAGUCUGAUGUGAAAGCCUUCGGCUCAACCGAAGAAGUGCAUCGGAAACUGGGAAACUUGAGUGCAGAAGAGGACAGUGGAACUCCAUGUGUAGCGGUGAAAUGCGUAGAUAUAUGGAAGAACACCAGUGGCGAAGGCGGCUGUCUGGUCUGUAACUGACGCUGAGGCUCGAAAGUAUGGGUAGCAAAACAGGAUUAGAUACCCUGGUAGUCCAUACCGUAAACGAUGAAUGCUAACUGUUGGGAGGGUUUCCACCCCUUCAGUGCUGCAGCUAACGCA
rnacentral:rRNA from 2 species